GCCCUGGUGGCACAAUGGUUAAGAGCUGGGCUGCUAACUGAAAGGUUGGUAGUUAGAACCUACCCAGGGGCU
rnacentral:tRNA from 1 species